rnacentral:rRNA from 1 species
UACACACCGCCCGUCACACCAUGGAAGCCAGCUGUACCCGAAGUCCGUGACCCAACCCGCAAGGGAGGGAGCGGCCGAAGGUGAACUCAAUGACUGGGGCU